AGUGUUUAAUGGCAGGUUGAGUGGUGUAAACUGGCAGAAAAUGAGCUGUGAUAUUUCUACUUUAAGAUGAGAAUGAGAAACAACUUAUCUUGAUAAAAGCGUAGAAAUUGGUUUCUUCAGGAAGCCUUCCCUGCUUCUCUAGUUUGAGGUAAGUAGUCCUUUCAUGUGUUCAUUAUGUCUUGUGCUUCCUCUUCCUAUCAGUUUAUGAUAAUAUAGGAAAUUAUUAGCCUGCUUAAUUCUAUCAGACCAGGUGCCCUGUAAAUUCACUUGUUGCAUUCUCGGGUACCUGCAUGGGAUCUGGUAAGUUGUGUGUACUGCAAGUUCUUGAUAAAUGAAUAAUGUCAUUCAUUGUUUCUAAAUAAGCAGGAAUAGUAAAGACUUCAAGCUAUUGGCCACUUGACUCAUUUAGUCAUGCUUAUAAACCUAAGAAUUCCACAAAAACUUAUGGUUUGAAUGAUUUAUAGUUUAUUUCCUGAGGAUACAGACAUCAUUGUGCAAGACUGGGACAAUUUGAUUCAUUGAAUCUUUUACAAAAGUUUAUAUAAAUUAUUCCUGGAUGAAUUAGUCAUAUUAUUAGUCAGCCAUACAAAACAAUUGUUUUGAAUUCUUUAAGGACUGUAUCCAAAUUCAUUAAGUUUUCAUGGUAGAAGCACAUUAAUCACCAAUACCAUCAUUUUCUGCACUUUCUUUAACUUACUUUUAUUUCUCACGUCUCCAUGUCAUAUUGUUGUUGCAUUUGUAAUAAACUUUGCAGUAAAGACAACCACCAUACAUUUGUAUCUAAUGGCUAAUCUUAUAUUAGGUGAACUUGAAAAUCCUUAAGGAAAAGUUUUUUCUUAGUGUUUGUUAGAAAUAAAUAUUUAAUGGUUUUAAAGGAGUCUUCCUAUAAAGAACUCUUUGAGGAACUGUAUAUGUGUGUAUAUACCUUUACUUAAGUUUUAAGUUAAUGAGGCAGUGUUUUUCCUGAAGAGCUAGGGAUAUGGUAUAGAAAGAGUGUGGCUUUUUCUUUUCCUGGGGGAAGAAGGCUUGUAGUAAUAUUGUCAUGAUGUUGCUGGUAUUGAGUUAUUGCUGAAUAAAGAAUAGGUGUAAAGCAAGCAUGGACCUGAAUGCUUGUCUUUUAUUAAUGAAACAGUAAAUUCUUUCAUUUUGUUGAUGCUACCUGGGCAUAUAACCCAGACAUAAAUAAUCACAAAGCCUAAUUUUGAGGGUCUAAACAGAAUUGCAUAUCCCAUUUGCUUUGGUGCAUCGAUUACAAAGCCAGAUGUUAAGAACAGAUGUCAAUGAGCUAUUUUUCAUAUGCCAUGGUUCACAUUUAUGAACUCUCCAUUUAUCACCUCAGAUGGAAACGGUUAAUUUGACAGUGAGUGUUUUGGUUGUUAGCCAAUUUCAACAUGAGUCUUUGGUUUUUGAAAUCUGAUGUACAGAGAUGUGAUAAAACAAUUACAAUAGAAGCACUGUUAACUUGAUUUUGUGCCUUAGAAUUUACCAACAUAUAUAAAGUAAUGGAAAUGAAUGUUCCCUUUUAUGGUGAAUCAACAUAAAUCUAAUGUUGGCUAAGAAAUAAUGUAAAUGUUAUGACUGAAAUACAGAGUGGUUAAUCCAAUUGUAAAUUCCAUAUAACUGUAAGUCAGAUCCUUGUAGUGAUGUAUGGUGUGAUGGCGUAGUGGGUUUUGCUUAUUUCUUCUAUUUGAUUGUAACAAUGAUACUCAUCAAAAAUAUUUCAGGCAAUGUUUGUGCUAAAUAUGUUUUUAGAAUUGGCUUCAAAAUUUUGCUGUACUAUGGGAAAAUUUUCAUAUUGGUGAAUACUGUAUUUCCAAUUGUCUAUUAGCUAUGUUGAUAUAAUACAUAUUUAAAAGCAGCCAUCUACUAUAUUCUACUAGGAAACUUAAAUAACGGAAAAAAGGAAAAAUAAUAUUUUUAUUUUUAAAUGUGUGGACAGUUAUCUGGAAUAUUAAACUCUUUAGUAUAUACUAUAUUUUUAUAUUUUUUCAGCAACUUUGUGAGAUAUAUCACUAUUUUUAUUUUAUUGUUCCCAAGUCUGGAAAGGGAUAGAAGUGGGACUUAAAGGUUAUUUUUUCUCUCUGUUUUCUAUUCUAGUUUUCUUUCUACUACAUUUCAUUCCCUCUCUUUGAAUUCAGAACUCAAAAAAUAAUAGUUACUUUAAUCCAAAGUUUAAAGAAUGGAUUAAAUUCUAACCUAGGAGAUCUGAUUAUGUUGCAAACAAUAUAAGCUCUUUUCAUAUCUUUAAAUAAACUGAUGACUUUGAUAAGUAUAACAGAAGUUGGCUUAAAUGGUUUAUGCUUAAUCAACUUCUGUAUUAAUGGAAGCCCUCCAUUUUCUCUGUAAACAGGCUGAUUAUAAAACAUAGCACCUUGAAACCUUUGCAUCUCUGCUCCUACCACUUUAAUUGUAUGCUGAAAGUGAGUCAGUAGGGUAAUUUCAAAACCCUACACAAAUUAUAUCUGUGAUAUUAAUGAAAUUUAAUUGAAUAUUGCAUGUAUCAGUGAAAGAUGAAAGUGAAUGAGAAAAUAAUUAUAUCUAUGAAAACUGAGUGACAUAGUUUGAAAGAUACAGAUAAAGGUUAAUUGAAAUAAUAUUAACUGAAAAUGUACAAGAUUGUUGGAAGAGGAUUAUGAAGUGCUAAAAACCUUCUGCAUUUAAAUUGCCUUGCAAUUAUUUUUAUAAUUCCCAGUUUCUCUCUAAAGAAAUCCAAACUGUCAAUAAUAGAUUGUACACAUUGCUCAUAGACGAUGUAAGAAAAAUGAUAAAAAAUGCAAAGAGUAGCUCCAUUCUUCAAGAAACAGCCUUACUCCUACAAUGGAAAAUGAGCAAGAAUUUCUAUAUUUUAAGUUAAAAUUAAAUGUUUGUCAUGGUUAUAUCACUUUUUAAAAUAAUUUCCAGAUUUGACAUCCUUUUACGAUGAUCUUAACCAAUGACUGAUUUCAAAUGUGUCAGAUAUGAGGGAUUCUGUUGUUUUUAAAUAACUAAUAUCUGUUGCCUAAUCCAGUGUCCAAGUCACAGUGAAGGUUGUUCAUAGGGCCAAUCAAAGGCUAGAGAUCCAUCAUGUGAAAUCUGCCAACUCUGGAAUCUGAAUUGCUCAUGGUGGGCAAGGAAGAGGCAGGAAUAUAAGUGUGAUGGGAAGAGACAUAAUAGCACCUCACAGCACAUAGAAAUGGUGAGUUUUUCAGGGAUCUGAAGUAGUAUCCUGGUUCAGAGAAGUUCUUUCUGUGCAUUGAAGUUUGAGCUGUUUGUUACAGGAGUGGAAGAAGCAGGUAAUGCAGGGACAUUUUAGUAUGAGAUUCCAUCCUCAGACCUUAAAGGGAAGUGGAUGGAUGUGGUGUGCAGAAGGAUGAAUGGCCUCAAAGUAAUUAUGCCAGUGGGGAUUCCAGUUUCACUCUUACAAAUGUGUGUGUGUGUGUGUGUGUGUG
rnacentral:lncRNA from 1 species